GUUAGUUUGACAGCCUGGGCCACAAGGUUCUCAUGUGAACCAAAAAACCACUCUGAAAUAAGUAGAAAAGUGAAAAUGAAUGGGCUCUAUUUGUAAUUCAAAUGCAAAGGGACCAAACUACUUCACCUGAUCAAACAUUGAGAACUGUUUCAAAGUCUAUUUUCUUCCUGUUUUGGCAUUACAAUUCUCUUUCCAAAGAUACAAUGCUUCUACUUAACAUUUCCCCAACUUGGAUCUAGCUAAAACACAAAGGACUUGAGGUUUUGUUUGUUUGUUUGUUUGUUUUCCCACAACACAUCAGAAAAUGCAGCGCAAGCUUUAAUGAGUAAGUCUGUUACAACAUGCCUUUUGGAGGACUGUAAGCAUUUAUGGGGGAAUGAGGUAAUUAAUAUAUUACUUAAGCAUGCAAAGACAAGUUAGAAGCAGCUGUCUUUCUUCUCUUGAUAUGGCAACACAAUCAUUGAAACAAUGACUUCUUACAUCUUUUUUUUUUCUCUCUCUGUUCACAGACCACUCAAGUCGCUUGCAGGUUUUAAGUCAAAGCUUUAAGAGAUCGCCAUAUUUUCAGGACCGCUUUCCAGGGAGAAAACAGCGGGAGGGAGAGCAAGAAGGGAGCUGAUGAGGAGCCGUGGCAAAGUCUCCACCAAAAUGUUACCCCAGAGGCAGAAGAUGAGAAACUCCCAUCGCAGCCAGGAGGGCUUCCCAGGGGCCGGCGUGGUGUCCCGGAACAGAAGAGAGAAUUUGUGCUGGGGACAGAUACCUGGAGCCGCUCGCUGUGCCCUGCUGCUCCCGGAGCAGCGCUGCCAUAGCGCC